UGAUCAGAAGCCCUAAGCACCCCAAAAUGACCUGCCUCAAAGCCUUGCCCAGCCCUCAUCUCGUCUCCUCUCUAUGGUUGUACUUUGUCUGAAGCCCUGAAUCUGAACCUGUGAACUAAGAAGGCAAGAACUCUAGUUGUACUAUGUUUGAAGCUCUGAAUCUUGUCUCCUCUCUGUGGUUGUCUCGUCUUAGCGUCUUUGAUCUUCCUUCUUUCCUCUUUAAGCUUGGAGGGUCUCGUUUCACCUGCUGUCGUGUGUCGUCCUUAGGAGCUUUAACGGUCAACUUAGGUAGCUACUCUCUUUCUCCCUCCGCUUGAUUCAGGUAUGGCUUCUCUCUCUCCCCUCUUCAAGCUUUAUGUUGCUCAUUGUUGCUAUUGCUCUAUCUCUUCAAGCUUCAUUUAUGAUCUGCGUACUAUAUUCUGAUUUACUCUAUACCUAUUAUUACUUUGUAUCUUUGAAAUCUGCUACUCUAUACUCUUAGAGUAGUAUGUGUUCGAGCUUCAUUUUAGUUGAAAUUAGUCUAAGGAGUGUUUGUUCGAGCUUCACUUCUUGAAAUUAAAUUAAUUGAAAUUAAAUUGCUCUGUAUGUUCGAGCUUUACUUCUUGAAUCUGCACUCUGUUGGCAUGUCUGCUUUAAUCUACACACUUGUUGAAUCUACUCUGCUGGCAUGUUCGAGCUUUACAUUUUUUUGUAUUAGAUAUUUAUUUAUGUUGACAUUAUUAUAGCUUGCAGAUUAAAGCUAUAACAUAGAUAUUGUAAAUAAUUAUAGUAGUGAAGGAACUGAGAAUCCCACUCCUAAUUCCAAUAAUCCUACUCCCAAUUCCAACAAUCCCACCCUUAAUUCCAUUAACCCCCUGCAAGUCAUAAUGACUCCGCAUCUAGAACCCCAUCAGUUCGUGGGAAAAAAGAUCCUGCAUGGGCACAUGUUGCCUUAAGAAAAGAGGGCAACAAAAAUGUGUAUAUAUGUCUUUAUUGUGCAUUGAGCUAUAAAGGAGGUGGAAUAAAUAAAUUGAAGCAUCAUCUUGCUAGUGUAAGUAAAAAUGUAGUUUCUUGCAACAAAGUUCCUUUUGAUGUUCGUCAUCAGAUGCAAGAAUCAUUGAAAAGUGGGGAAAAGAGAAAGCUUGCUGUUGUACAAGCAGACAUGGGGCAACAUGUGUCUAAUGCUAAUAAACCCAGUGCACCUACUCCAUCUAAGUCAAUCCCUAAGAGUAGUGCUAGUUAAAAAAAAACCUCCUACUAUUCUAGUUGAAAAUUAUUUCGCUUCUAAGACAACUUUAGGUUCUUAACCAGGCAUUAAGAGUGCAUUUGCAACUAAAGAAGCAUAACACAAUGCAAAAAUGGCCAUUGCUGAAUGGGCUAUCAUCAAUUGCAUUCCAUUAAAUGCAUUAGAUUGCCAUUUCUUUCAAAAAGCUGUAGAUGCUAUUGCUUCAAUUAGGCCGAGGUUUAAGGAUCUUAAUACUUAUGAAUUUAAAGUUAACUUGUUGAAUGAUUGGAAAAAAGAAUGUGAGCUACUUAUUGAGAGUCAUCGAUGUAAAUGGAAAACUUAUGGAUGCACAUUCAUUGCUGAUGGUUGGACAGAGGUAAGGCAACGAACUUUGAUAAAUUUUCUUGUCUAUUCUAUACAUGGCAUAGUAUUUGUGAAAUCUAUUGAUGCUUCUGAUUUAGUGAAAGAUGCCAAGACUUUAUUCUCAUUGUUUUCUAAAGUGAUUGAGUGGGUUGGUCCCAAAAAUAUUAUGCAUGUGACUGAUAAUGCUGCUAAUUAUAUAGCAUGUAGCAAAUUGAUUAAAGAUAAAUAUAAAAGUAUUUAUUGGUCACCUUGUGCUGCUCAUUGCUUGAAUCUCACUUUGAAAGACAUUGCAAGCAUGUCUCAUGUGUCACAACUUGUAACAAAGGCAUCAAAGAUCACUAUAUUUGUUUAUAAUUAUAUGGUCUUCUUGUCAUGGCUUAGGAAAAGAAAGGGUUGGAAAGAAAUUAUGCGUCCCAGUGUGACAAGGUUUGCUACAACAUUUAUCACAUUGCAUAGCAUAUAUAUGCACAAGCAUGAUUUGCAAGCUUUAAUCACUGAUAAGUAUUUUGUGGAUCACAAAUUAUCAAGGACCGAAGCCGGAAUAAUUGUUAGUGCCAUCAUAUUAGAUAAUUAGUUUUGGAAUGAAUGUCUUGAAAUUGUGAAGAUUGUGUCUCCUCUCAUAAAAUUGUUGAGAAUUGUUGAUUUAGAUGAGAAGCCUUUUUUGCCUUAUGUUAUGAAGGCAUGCAAAAGGAAAAAAAAGCAAUUAAGGCAAUUUUCAACAAUAAGAAGGAUCAAUACAAGCCUUACACAGACAUUAUUCAAGCCCGAUGAGAUAAGCACUUGAAGACCACUCUUCAUGCAGCAGCAUAUUUGUUGAACCUUGCCUUCUUGUAUGAUGAUGACUUUGUUCACAAGAGAAGGUUAAUGGAUGCUAUGCUUUCAGUGUUUGAGUCAACUGAAAAUGAAGAUGUUGAUUAUAUUGUGAUGAUGAAGCAAUUGAGCUUGUAUCGUGAUCGUAAAGAAUCUUUUGAUAAAGCUUCAUGUCAUAGAGCAGCACAGAAACUAAACCCUUAUGAAUGAUGGUCAUUUUAUGGAAGUUCUGUUCCAAAGUUGCAAAAUCUUGCAAUGUGUAUUCUUAGCCAAACUUCUUCUUCCUCUAGUUGUGAGAGAAAUUGCAGCUUGUUUGAACGCAUCCAUACCAAAAGAAGAAAUAGAUUGGAACAUCAAAGACUAAAUGAUUUAAUCUUUGCAAACUACAAUCUACAAUUGAAGCAUAGGAAAAAAUGAAAGUUAUGAAUGUUUUUAAUAAAUAUGAAUUUUAUUACUAUUUUAUGGUAGAUAUAUACUUAUAUUUGAUUGCUUUGACCUCAUCAAAGGAGCUAAUUGAAGAAAAAGACAAGUUUUAAUCCAAUUGAUUAUGAAUCUAUUGACAAAUUGGACUUUUGGAUUGUUGAAGAGGAACAAGAGCCAGCUCUAGAGUUUGAUGCGGAUAAUGUCACUAAUAUGGAAAGUGCUAUGCAUAAUGAAAAUGUUGUUGCUUCAUUAGCUUUUGAGAGAAAUAAUGAAGGUGAAGAAGAUAUCAAUAUUCUAGAGCAUCCACAUUUGAUUGAUGAUGUUGGAAGUGGUUUAGGUUUCUCUCAAUCAUCUCCUAAUGUUUCAAUCCCUACUCCUGGAGAUUUGAAUGAAAUUAAUGAAGAUUUUAGUGUUAAUUAUUAUUAGCUUUAGACUUUUUGAUGAUUAAAGGACUGUAAUGAUGAAUAUUUUAAAUGUUGUAUUUUUAAUGAUGUUUUGAUGAUUGUGUUAGAC